rnacentral:rRNA from 1 species
UAGGGAAUCUUCGGCAAUGGGGGGAACCCUGACCGAGCAACGCCGCGUGAGUGAAGAAGGUUUUCGGAUCGUAAAGCUCUGUUGUUAAGGAAGAACGAGUGUGAGAAUGGAAAGUUCAUACUGUGACGGUACUUAACCAGAAAGGGACGGCUAACUACGUGCCAGCAGCCGCGGUAAUACGUAGGUCCCGAGCGUUGUCCGGAUUUAUUGGGCGUAAAGCGAGCGCAGGCGGUUAGAUAAGUCUGAAGUUAAAGGCAGUGGCUCAACCAUUGUAGGCUUUGGAAACUGUUUAACUUGAGUGCAGAAGGGGAGAGUGGAAUUCCAUGUGUAGCGGUGAAAUGCGUAGAUAUAUGGAGGAACACCGGUGGCGAAAGCGGCUCUCAGGUCUGUAACUGACGCUGAGGCUCGAAAGCGUGGGGAGCGAACAGG